rnacentral:sRNA from 1 species
CUGGCUCCUGCCAAGCACUUAAUUGCUAGUAUGUUGUCCAAAAACCCAGAGGAUCGUCCCAGUUUGGAUGACAUCAUUCGACAUGACUUUUUUUUGCAGGGCUUCACUCCAGACAGACUGUCUUCUAGCUGUUGUCAUACAGUUCCAGAUUUCCACUUAUCAAGCCCAGCAAAGAAUUUCUUUAAGAAAGCAGCUGCUGCUCUUUUUGGUGGCAAAAAAGACAAAGCAAGAUAUAUUGACACACAUAAUAGAGUGUCUAAAGAAGAUGAAGACAUCUACAAGCUUAGGCAUGAUUUGAAAAAGACUUCAAUAACUCAGCAACCCAGCAAACACAGGACAGAUGAGGUGUGUUGGGAAAGAGUAAAGUAGAUGCUCAUGCUUUACAUUAUUUCCACUCUUUAUUAAUUAGCACUUGGACUAUGAUUAUCAUGGUUCAAAUAUGUCAUAUUUACUUAAAGUUUUUCUUCAAACCCUUUGAAAGGGAAGUUAAAACUAAAAGGAAGUCUUUUAGUUUUACAAUGCAUGCAAGUGAGUUACUGCGUUAUCUUUUAUCUGGCUUUUGUCCAUUGCUUUUUGAUGAGCUUUCCCAGCAGUUGCCUCACUCUCAUCUUAAUCUGGAAUUCUCACCCUUAAAUGAAUUUAGAUGCUUGACUCAUUGCAUAAAUCUCUCUUCUAAGGAGCUCCAG